ACUAAUAAUGAAUUGUAAAACUAUUUACGGAUAAGUGCUAUCGAUUUAACCAAUAAUAGAACUUUUAUGAAGUUAUUUAUGAAGCAAUAAGCCUUCGAUGUUCGUACAUAGAACUUUCGUACCCAGUGCCAGGCAAGAUCAAAAAUUACAACAAGGAACAAUUUCAACAAAUGUCUGGAUACCACAAUAUGAUUGUAACACGUGAAUUGAAGUCAGACACCUUACUGUACCACCAUGCAACAGUAUCAUCUAUCUUCCGUAACCGCCGAACCCCUUUCGGUGACGUAGACGUUGUUCGUCAGUAUAUAGAUAAUUUUAGUGAUAGAGCAGCCCUUUUUUAUGGUUUGGCAGAUUCCCUAGAGAGCUGCAAUGUGAGAAGUGACAGUAAUGCAGAAUACCUACAGACCUUGAAGAGAAAUGAAGAGAUACAGCGCUAAAUUGUUCAACAUGGUGUGUGUGGGAAACAUAGUGGACAGAAAGCAUGUGACAGAAAAUGAAAAGAAAAGAUGGUGUUGAAUGGUAUGCAGUGAGUGCAAGUCAUCUGAAGUCAGGGACCAUCGUAUUGCAGCAUUCCAGAAAGCAGUCUACAGAAUAAAUACCGUACUUUCGUUUUCAAGAAAACAUGCAAAUAUAAAGUUUGAAGUAACAGUAACACAGAAUGGCUGGAGACCAGUAACUUAAGAACUGAAGAGAUGUAGGUCAUUGUUCUAUAUGUUGACUGAUGGAACUAUGGUGCAGAUUUGAAUCGAUAAGGUGUGAAGUUACAGAAAAGCAGAAUAGCUACAGACCAUGAAAUUUAGAAAAUGAAGAGAUGCAUGUCUCUGUUCAGCAUGGUGUAUAUGGGAAACAUUGUGGGUCACAGACCUCUGUUCAACAUGGUGUAUAUGGGAAACAUUGUGGGUCACAGACAUGAAAUGGUUUGAUAACGCAAAAUAACAGGGGAAAUUAAUUUCAAGGAAAAUCAAAGUGACAUGAAUUUUGAACGCCAGUUAUUU